AAGUCAAGUAAGUGUUGACUGAGUCUAUCAAUUUGUAAGUCCAAACAACUUCCAGAUGGUUCUAACAACAGUCAAAGUAUCUUGGAUUUGAUUAGUGCCUUUCAGUUUACAAAGCAGUGACCAUCUGUGUCCUCAUUUCAAACCUCACAGUGCAGUCUGUCAAAGAGGCAGGCCAGAGGUCACCAGCUCCAUUUCCUCGAAGAAGAGACUGAGCCCCGGGAAAGAGAAACAAAACCAAUUAACAGAUGCGCCUGGUAACCCCAAUGAUAACCCAGUGUUUCCAGCUGAUGGCUUGGGACUGGUCACGUGAGACCUGUUACCCUGGGCUUCCCUCAGUGACAAAAGUAUCACGGCUGAUCAUUACAGUGGCUAUUUGCUGAGGAUUCAUCUUCAAUGCUAAACAAAGAUACAGCUUAUCCCUAAUCCUCACAACGUGCAAGGCAUCACAGUCUAAGAAAAAGCAACUCUUCUAAAAGGUUCUUGAAUUAACAACACCAAGCCCAUGGAAGACACAGUCUGACUUAUUGGCAAGGUCAGUGAGUAAGAGGGGCUGUUUGCUGAAAUAAAUUCCACCGGUUUCUUUGUUUGGUUUCUCCUUGAUGAAGUACAGCCGGUGAGCCUCAAAUUCCUUUGCAAGAGGAGGUGAAUUCUGCAUAUCGAUUAUUAGGGGUCUACUGGGUACCAACACUAUACAGAAAGGGGAGAGAGGGCAUUGUGAUGAGCUCAAGACUGAGGAGGGCUGGACACCAGAGAUGCCUGUCUGCAUCUGCUAAGCAUUUUCCCAGAGCUCUCGACUGGAACAGUUCCUCAGAAAAUGGCUCUGGACAAGAAGGGAAGGGCCACCAUAAGGGUUAAAGGAGAGAAUCAGUCUUAAAUGGUGACUCAGCAUGAUGCCUUUUUUCUUCGAGAACUUGCUUCUCACUUCACUGGAAGCAGCGUCACAUAGCAUACCCUACGACAGCGUCGAGCCCGCGUGCUCUGCCUUCCUUCCUUUGAUCUAGACGACAUCUGCCAUGCUGUGCAUGCAGCCUUCUCCCCGGCGUGAUGGGUCCUCACUCUAAUGCGGCAGGAAGAUACCCUUAGUAUGUGUGUCCUCUUCUGCAUCACAGAGAUGUCUCUUUCUUUCUUCCCAUUAUGAUGUGAACGUGGCAUUAAUAUUUCAUCAUCUAAAUGAACCCUUCCUUUACUCUCCCCCUCAAAAACUCCCUCUUUUCUUUGCUCCCUAUUUAGCAACACUCCAUAUCGGCUCCUAACCGCCUCUUUUUGGAAACGCAAUUUGAAAGUGAAACCAAGAUAUUCCGUUUUAGUAGAUCUUGAGUGAAGUCCAGAUAUUGCAUUAGAUGUUUUUAAGAUUCCUUUGGUGAGUGGGUUUGAGACGCAGAACUAUUAACUUCAGAUUUCAGGUUAGAACGAUUCCUAACUGAAGAUGAAACUGAAAUUCUUCAUUUUCCUGGAAGGCAAUAUCUGAGAACAUUCCCUGUAGAAGACAUAUUUGGCUUGCCAGAAGUGGGGUCGUGAUGGGAAAGCUCUUGUGCCUUCCUAUUAUUUCUGUGUGUGUGACUGCCAUGGAAAUCUGGAGUGAGUAACAGGAAAUCUCAGCCUUGUCCCUAUAGGCUAAUGUUUGCGUUUCCAGUGGGAAGCAAGUUGGGACAAAAACCAUGGGAGGGAGAAGCGGGAAAGUGUAAGAACUUUGGUGGGUUGGGUCUGCUUUUCUGUGGGCUGUGUUUUUCAGUCGUACAUGGAUGAGGUUGGUAUAUGUUGUCACAAACCCUCCGUGAUGGUAUUAAAACUUUGCACUUCCUGAGGUAGUUGUUUAAGGAAUAUGUAUUGAGCAAGUAAAAUAUGAAGAUGUAUUGCUUA